rnacentral:rRNA from 1 species
GUAGGUGGCAAGCGUCGUCCGGAAUUAUUGGGGCGUAAAGCGCGCGCAGGCGGUUCUUUAAGUCUGAUGUGAAAGCCCACGGGCUCAACCGUGGAGGGUCAUUGGAAACUGGAGAACUUGAGUACAGAAGAGGAAAGCGGAAUUCCACGUGUAGCGGUGAAAUGCGUAGAGAUGUGGAGGAACACCAGUGGCGAAGGCGGCUUUCUGGUCUGUAACUGACGCUGAGGCGCGAAAGCGUGGGGAGCAAACAGGAUUAGAUACCCUGGUAGUCCACGCCGUAAACGAUGAGUGCUAAGUGUUAGGGGGUUUCCGCCCCUUAGUGCUGCAGCUAACGCAUUAAGCACUCCGCCUGGGGAGUACGGCCGCAAAGGCUGA